rnacentral:rRNA from 1 species
UGCCAGCCGCCGCGGUAAUACGGAGGGGGCUAGCGUUGUUCGGAAUUACUGGGCGUAAAGCGCACGUAGGCGGACUAUUAAGUCAGGGGUGAAAUCCCGGGGCUCAACCCCGGAACUGCCUCUGAUACUGGUAGUCUUGAGUUCGAGAGAGGUGAGUGGAAUUCCGAGUGUAGAGGUGAAAUUCGUAGAUAUUAAGAGGAACACCAGUGGCGAAGGCGACUGACUGGGCCGGUAUUGACGCUAAGGCACGAAAGCGUGGGGAGCAAACAGGAUUAGAUA